UACGUAGGUGGCAAGCGUUGUCCGGAUUUACUGGGCGUAAAGAGCGCGCAGGCGGUCGUUCAAGUCGCGUGUGAAAGCCCCCGGCUCAACUGGGGAGGGUCACGCGAUACUGAUCGACUCGAAGGCAGGAGAGGGUAGUGGAAUUCCCGGUGCAGUGGUGAAAUGCGUAGAUAUCGGGAGGAACACCAGUGGCGAAGGCGACUACCUGGCCUGUUCUUGACGCUGAGGCGCGAAAGCUAGGGGAGCAAACGGG
rnacentral:rRNA from 1 species